rnacentral:rRNA from 1 species
UACGUAGGGGGCGAGCGUUAUCCGGAUUUACUGGGUGUAAAGGGAGCGCAGACGGUUGAGGAAGUCAGAUGUGGAAGCCCCGGGCAUAACCCGGGGAGUGCAUUUGAAACUCCAUGACUAGAGUACUGGAGGGGUGAGCGGAAUUCCUGGUGUAGCGGUGAAAUGCGUAGAUAUCAGGAAGAACACCGGUGGCGAAGGCGGCUCACUGGACAGAGACUGACGUUGAGGCUCGAAAGCGUGGGGAGCAAAC